rnacentral:rRNA from 1 species
AUUGAACGCUGGCGGCAUGCCUUACACAUGCAAGUCGAACGGCAGCGGACCUUCGGGUGCCGGCGAGUGGCGAACGGGUGAGUAAUAUAUCGGAACGUACCUUUCAGUGGGGGAUAACGUAGCGAAAGUUACGCUAAUACCGCAUAUUCUGUGAGCAGGAAAGCAGGGGAUCGCAAGACCUUGCGCUGAUUGAGCGGCCGAUAUCAGAUUAGCUAGUUGGUGAGGUAAAGGCUCACCAAGGCGACGAUCUGUAGCGGGUCUGAGAGGAUGAUCCGCACACUGGAACUGAGACACGGUCCAGACUCCUACGGGAGGCAGCAGUGGGGAAUUUUGGACAAUGGGCGCAAGCCUGAUCCAGCCAUGCCGCGUGAGUGAAG